UACGGAGGGUGCAAGCGUUGUUCGGAAUUACUGGGCGUAAAGCGCGUGUAGGCGGCUUCUUAAGUCUGGUGUGAAAGCCCGGGGCUCACCCCCGGAAGUGCAUUGGAUACUGGGAAGCUAGAGUACCGGAGAGGAAGGUGGAAUUCCUGGUGUAGCGGUGAAAUGCGUAGAUAUCAGGAGGAACACCGGUGGCGAAGGCGACCUUCUGGACGGAUACUGACGCUGAGACGCGAAAGCGUGGGGAGCAAAC
rnacentral:rRNA from 1 species